UACGUAGGGUGCGAGCGUUGUCCGGAAUUAUUGGGCGUAAAGGGCUCGUAGGCGGUCUGUUGCGUCGGGAGUGAAAACUCAGGGCUUAACCCUGAGCCUGCUUCCGAUACGGGCAGACUAGAGGUAUGCAGGGGAGAACGGAAUUCCUGGUGUAGCGGUGAAAUGCGCAGAUAUCAGGAGGAACACCGGUGGCGAAGGCGGUGGCCUGGACCGAUGCUGACGCUGAGGCGCGAAAGCGUGGGGAGCGAUCCGG
rnacentral:rRNA from 1 species